CCUACGGGAGGCUGCAGUGAGGAAUAUUGGUCAAUGGACGAGAGUCUGAACCAGCCAAGUAGCGUGAAGGAUGACUGCCCUAUGGGUUGUAAACUUCUUUUAUAUGGGAAUAAAAUGUUCCACGUGUGGGAUUUUGUAUGUACCAUAUGAAUAAGGAUCGGCUAACUCCGUGCCAGCAGCCGCGGUAAUACGGAGGAUCCGAGCGUUAUCCGGAUUUAUUGGGUUUAAAGGGAGCGUAGGUGGAUGGUUAAGUCAGUUGUGAAAGUUUGCGGCUCAACCGUAAAAUUGCAGUUGAAACUGGCAGUCUUGAGUACAGUAGAGGUGGGCGGAAUUCGUGGUGUAGCGGUGAAAUGCUUAGAUAUCACGAAGAACUCCGAUUGCGAAGGCAGUUCACUGGACUGCAACUGACACUGAGGCUCGAAAGUGUGGGUAUCAAACAGGAUUAGAUACCCGAGUAGUC
rnacentral:rRNA from 1 species